GAAGGACUCCUCAAGUAGUCCCCAGUGUUGGAUGAAAGUCCAAGAAUACUCAGUUUUAGUUAUUGUUUCUUCCUGACCAGAAUAGUAACAGGAAAUGGGAAACACACAUCUCCACUGCAAGCCUUGGAUAUUUCUGGGUGGUACUAAUAAAGCCUAACUAUGAGAGCAGUAAAUUAGCUGAGAAAUUAAAGGAAAGACAACGAUGACUUCUGCAGUCAAACUGGAAUGACUGAUCAAACAAAAAUUGAAGCAUCUGUGUACUGGAAUGGAUAUGCCCACACUGAUGUGGAAGCAAAAUUUAGAAAAGAAGCAUCAGUGUAAUGGGACUG